CAAGAGCGUAUGUAAAAGUUGUUGCAGUUAAAAAGCUCGUAGUUGAACCUUGGGUUUGGUUGGCCGGUCCGCUUUUUUGCGAGUACUGGAUUCAACCGAGCCUUUCCUUCUGGCUAACCAGUCGUUUCGGCGGCUGGCGAACCAGGAUUUUUACUUUGAGAAAAUUAGAGUGUUCAAAGCAGGCAUUAGCUUGAAUAUAUUAGCAUGGAAUAAUAGAAUAGGACGUUAUGGUUCUAUUUUGUUGGUUUCUAGGACCAUCGUAAUGAUUAAUAGGGACGGUCGGGGGCAUCAGUAUACAGUUGUCAGAGGUGAAAUUCUUGGAUUUACUGAAGACUAACUACUGCGAAAGCAUUUGCCAAGGACGUUUUCAUUAA
rnacentral:rRNA from 1 species